rnacentral:rRNA from 1 species
CCUACGGGAGGCAGCAGUAAGGAAUAUUGGACAAUGGUGGCAACACUGAUCCAGCCAUGCCGCGUGCAGGAUGACGGUUCUAUGAAUUGUAAACUGCUUUUAUACGGGAAAAACCCUCAAGACGUGAUUUUGAGCUGAUUGUACCGUAAGAAUAAGGAUCGGCUAACUUCGUGCCAGCAGCCGCGGUAAGACGAAGGAUCCAAGCGUUAUCCGGAUUUAUUGGGUUUAAAGGGUGCGUAGGCGGACUCAUAAGUCAGUGGUGAAAUCCCAAAGCUUAACUUUGGAACUGCCAUUGAUACUGUAAGUCUUGAGUAUGUUUGAAGUGGGCGGAAUGUAUUGUGUAGCGGUGAAAUGCUUAGAUAUAAUACAGAACACCAAUUGCGAAGGCAGCUCACUAAACCAUAAACUGACGCUGAGGCACGAAAGCAUGGGGAGCAAACAGGAUUAGAUACCCUGGUAGUCCAUGCCCUAAACGAUGAAUACUCGAUAUGUGCGAUAUACAGUACGUGUCUAAGCGAAAGCAUUAAGAUUCCACCUGGGGAGUUACGCUUCGCAAGAGUUGAAACUNAAAUUGAAUUGACGG